rnacentral:lncRNA from 1 species
AUGCAGUGGAGGAGAGGGGCAGAGGGAGAGGGAGAGGAUCUCAAGCAGACUUUAUGCUGAGCUCAGAACCUGACUUGAGACUCAAUCUCACGACUUGAACCAAAACCAAGAGUUGAACGCUUAAUCAACUGAGCUACCCAGGUGCCCCAUAAAAUGACUUUACAAAUUGUUUUUCCAUACAUGACUCUAUAUAUCUAUGAAUUGAGCAAUAAAUUUCCUCAAAUGUGUAUGAGAGUAUACAUUUGCCUUUUGUUGUUAACAAUUCAGAACACAUCCCAAGUACUGAUUUUGUUCACAUCACUACUAGACGCACAAUGUGUAAUAACACAAAGCUUAGUUCCCAAACAUUUACUGAGAGCCUACAUCAUGCUACAUAGCACUCAACACAGCAUCUCUCUGGUACAGAAUAAGACUCAAAAAUAUGAUCUGGAAUGAUAAUGGUGGUGGUAGUGGAGGGGGUAAGUAGAGAAAUAAUGUGUAUCCUGUCUGAACAGGAGCUUAGUUUCUGACAUCAAUCCAUUAAUAUUUUAAAUUUAAUAACCCUUACACACACACACACACACACAUAAUAUACAUACAUAAACCAUGUGCUCAUACACUACAUGCACACACACACCACAUACAUAUAUAUGCAUAUACUCACCUAAAUACACAUGCAGUCUCUCAUACACACAUCACAUGUAUACACACACACCACACGUACAUAUACAUACCACACAUACACAUACAUCCAUUAACACCACAUACUCACACACAUAGAUAAACAUACACAUAUGUAUUAUAUAUAGGCAUAGCACUGAGUCCUCUAUACCUCAAGCUUCCUAGAAGAGCCUUAAUUUCAUGAAUUUACAUUAGGUGUACUGAGCCUGUAUCAUCUUUUUUUUUUUAAAUCAACUUUUCAGGUCUCUACUUAAAACUAUGACCAAAACAUACAAUGUCUAUUAAAAUAUACUCUUAAGCCCCAUAUUAAUACACUCAGCUCAAACAACAGAAAAUACAUCCUUAAAAAUAAAUAUAGCCCAUACUAUUUCCAUAAGCAUGUAUUAUUGCUAUUGAUUUUCUAGUCAUCUACUUUUAAAGCCAAGCUGAAAAUGAUUUUUAAGUGCUCAAUCUCAUUUAUUAAAGCCUUGAAAGUUGAUUGCCUUAAUUUUCCCCCAAUCAACAGGAUAACCCUUAAUUUUAAGGUCUGGAUUAGUGGCACUCCCAACUAUGAAGUAAUGAUGUCAUUUAUUUACAUUAGAAUCAACAUGAGUUCAGAAUUUAAUGCCCUCAUCAAUUUUCCAAAUAAAACUGCAGCUGUAGUGUGGAACAGGUGAAAUGAGGUCUGUAUUUCUCAGAUGUAACAUAGCCAAGAGCUUAACCCAGGCUUCAUGAAGUUUAAAAGCAAUAAAGUCAAAGUUAUUUCAGCCCUGCAGCAUACUUAUUUAAAGAGAUGGAUGUUAUUGGCUGUCUUUCAAUAUACUGCUUAUACUAUCAUUAAAACCUGAAAUGGAAUCUACAGUAUUAUAUGUAUGGAAUAUCAUACACUGAUAAGAGCCACCCUUCUCCCCAAUCAUUUUAAAACAGAAAGAUAAAACAAUUGUAAUGCUACAUCCAGAGUACUAUGAUAUCGACAGAAUCCUAUUUCCAUCCUCAUUCUCUAUUGUAAAAACAAAAAACAAAACUGUGGAUUGCAAAGUUAUAGAAUAUAAAGUAUAAGAGAUAGGUGCAUCUGUCAGGACCUCUGGUCUAGGAAUCGCGAACCAAAGGUGGUUCAUUAGGGUUCUUGGUGGCAACUACGUAACUGUCAAAUUAACAGCAUGAAAGUGUAUAUUAGUUAAUCUCUAAACUCCAGGAGGGUAGGAAUCAUAUCUGUCUCUAUCUAUCACAAUGUCUAUUAGAAUGGCAAGCACAUAUCAACUAUCUAGCAAAUACCGAAUUAAUUAAUAAGUAAAUACUAUAAUAAGAAUGGCUAGGUACCUCCAUGGUGAUUAAUUGCUCUGAAAAAGUUCCCAACAGGUUCCAUAAAGAAAAUCUGAGUUCUUUACUGCAACACAAAGUCUUCUAAUGUCAAAAAGGUAAGUUGGAAGACAAAGAGAACAGAGGAGAGUAUUUCAUCUUCUUCGCUUAGGUGUCUGUCCCUGCAUACAUUCUUCUAAAACAUCCCUACUUCCAUUAUUCUACUUUUUAAAAAAUUUGUAAUUUAAAAAAAAAUUGAAAUUAUUUAUUUAUUUGAGCAAGAGAGAGAAAGGAAGAGUGUGUGAGCAGGGUGUGGAAGAGCAGAGGGAGAGGAAGAGGGAGAAUCUUAGGCAGGCUCCAUGCCCAUCAGAGAGGCUGAUACAAGUCUAUCUCACAACCCGAGAUCAUGAUCUGAGCUGAAAUCAAGUGUUGGAUGCUUAACCAACUGAGCCACUCACAUACCCUUCUAUUAUUCCACUCUGAGCAUAUAAGUGCAACAAAUUCUGUCAAAGUAACAUUUAGUCAAUGUAGUACCACUCUUUUAAUUUUAGCACUAUCAGUUUAAUAAGAUGCUAAAACAGAGUUCAAAUCCAAAUAAUCAGAAAUCUUUGCUUUUUAUUAUUGUGUAAUCAUAUUUUUCCAUUCCCCUGCAUAAUAGCUGAAGUUUCUAUUCUAUACUAAUAUAGUCUAUAAAUAUUACUGUUAUAUUAAACACUAAACUGGAAUAAAUUAAUAAUUCUGAGGAAUACCAAAUUUACUUUGGAUUAUUUCAAGUCAAAUUAUGACAAUGUUUAUGUCAUAAUUCCUAUGACAAUUAAAUCCUUUAGGUUUAAUUUAGAUUUAGAAUAAUGGAAGAAGGGAUGUUUUAGAAGAAUGUAUUUAAUUUUUCAUAACCAACAGAAAAACUACCCAAUGACAAUAGGUCCAAAGAAAUCACACAGACUGGAAUUAGUCGGGGAUUGAAACAGCUAUUAUGAAUAUGUUCAAGGAUUUUGGAAAAGGUAAACAUAAUAAAAGAACAGAUAGGAGUUCUCAGAAAAUUAAUGGAGUCUACAUAAAUGAAUCUGAUGUAAAUUCUAGAAAUAAAAACAUAAUAUCUAAGAUGUAAAAAUAUCUUAUUGGCUUAACAUGACUAGAUACUGAAGAAGAAGCUAUCAAUAAACUUUAAGAAAGAGAACUAAAAAUUAUAAAUUGAUACAAAGAUGGGAAAAAAGUUUUAAAAAUGGACAGAAGCUAAGUGACCAGUGGGACAACCUUGCAGAGUCUAACAAAUGUGUGAUUGAAAUCUCAGAAGAUGGAGAAAGAAAUUGACAAAGAAACAAAAAUUUGAGGAAAUGGUAGAAGUUUUUCCAAAUUUUUCUUUAAAAAUCAUUCUUUAGG